rnacentral:rRNA from 1 species
ACCUGGCUCACACCGGUUUAAACUCAGAUCAUGUAAAAUUUUAAAGGUCGAACAGACCUAAUUUAUUAGCUUCUCCACCAACAAUUAAUUUUAAUCCAACAUCGAGGUCGCAAUCUUUUAUUUCGAUUAGAACUCUAAAAAAAAUUACGCUGUUAUCCCUAAGGUAAUUCAAUCUUAUAAUCUAUAUUCUAGGAUCAUAAACUCAUAAAUUAAUGAUUCUAUAAAAAAAAAGUUUGUUAAAUUUUUCUAUCACCCCAACAAAAUAUUUUUUUAGCUAAUUUAAUAAUUUUACCUAUAAUUUCAAUUAACUUUAAAAUAUAAAACUCUAUAGGGUCUUCUCGUCUUCUAUAAACAUUUAAGCUUUUUAACUUAAAAAUAAAAUUCUAAUAAAUUUUUAUAGAGACAGAAACUUUUUCAUCAAACCUUUCAUUCCAGCUUUCAAUUAAAAAACUAAUGAUUAUGCUACCUUUGCACGGUUAGUAUACCGCGGCCAUUAAACUUCUCAUUGGGCAGGUCAGACCUAAAAUUAUAAUCAAUAGGCC